CCUACGGGUGGCAGCAGUCGAGAAUCAUUCACAAUGGGGGAAACCCUGAUGGUGCGACGCCGCGUGGGGGAAUGAAGGUCUUCGGAUUGUAAACCCCUGUCAUGUGGGAGCAAAUUAAAAAGAUAGUACCACAAGAGGAAGAGACGGCUAACUCUGUGCCAGCAGCCGCGGUAAUACAGAGGUCUCAAGCGUUGUUCGGAAUCACUGGGCGUAAAGUGUGCGUAGGCUGUUUCGUAAGUCGUGUGUGAAAGGCGCGGGCUCAACCCGCGGACGGCACAUGAUACUGCGAGACUAGAGUAAUGGAGGGGGAACCGGAAUUCUCGGUGUAGCAGUGAAAUGCGUAGAUAUCGAGAGGAACACUCGUGGCGAAGGCGGGUUGCUGGACAUUAACUGACGCUGAGGCACGAAGGCCAGGGGAGCGAAAGGGAUUAGAUACCCCGGUAGUC
rnacentral:rRNA from 1 species